rnacentral:tRNA from 1 species
UAUCAAACCAUAUUGAAGGAACAAUAAAAUCUUUAAGGUAAAUAAAAACUUUUACAAAAAUAGUCUG